rnacentral:rRNA from 1 species
UGGGGAAUAUUGGACAAUGGGGGCAACCCUGAUCCAGCAAUGCCGCGUGUGUGAAGAAGGUCUUCGGAUUGUAAAGCACUUUCGACGGGGACGAUGAUGACGGUACCCGUAGAAGAAGCCCCGGCUAACUUCGUGCCAGCAGCCGCGGUAAUACGAAGGGGGCUAGCGUUGCUCGGAAUGACUGGGCGUAAAGGGCGUGUAGGCGGUUUACACAGUCAGAUGUGAAAUCCCCGGGCUUAACCUGGGAGCUGCAUUUGAUACGUGUAGACUAGAGUGUGAGAGAGGGUUGUGGAAUUCCCAGUGUAGAGGUGAAAUUCGUAGAUAUUGGGAAGAACACCGGUGGCGAAGGCGGCAACCUGGCUCAUGACUGACGCUGAGGCGCGAAAGCGUGGGGAGCAAACAGGAUUAGAUACCCUGGUAGUCCACGCUGUAAACGAUGUGUGCUAGAUGUUGGGUAACUUUGUUAUUCAGUGUCGCAGUUAACGCGUUAAGCACACCGCCUGGGGAGUACGGCC